rnacentral:rRNA from 1 species
AGUGAACGCUGGCGGUAGGCCUAACACAUGCAAGUCGAACGGCAGCACAGUAAGAGCUUGCUCUUACGGGUGGCGAGUGGCGGACGGGUGAGGAAUACAUCGGAAUCUACUUUUUCGUGGGGGAUAACGUAGGGAAACUUACGCUAAUACCGCAUACGACCUACGGGUGAAAGCAGGGGAUCUUCGGACCUUGCGCGAUUGAAUGAGCCGAUGUCGGAUUAGCUAGUUGGCGGGGUAAAGGCCCACCAAGGCGCCGAUCCGUAGCUGGUCUGAGAGGAUGGUCAGCGACACUGGAACUGGGACACGGUCCAGACUCCUACGGGAGGCAGCAGUGGGGAAUAUUGGACAAUGGGCGCAAGCCUGAUCCAGCCAUACCGCGUGGGUGAAGAAGGCGUUCGGGUUGUAAAGCCCUUUUGUUGGGAAAGAAAAGCAGCAGGUUAAUACCCCGCUGUUCUGACGGUACCCAAAGAAUAAGCACCGGCUAACUUCGUG